UACGAAGGGGGCUAGCGUUGCUCGGAAUUACUGGGCGUAAAGCGCACGUAGGCGGGUUCUUAAGUCGGGGGUGAAAUCCUGGAGCUCAACUCCAGAACUGCCUUCGAUACUGGAAGACUCGAGUCCGGGAGAGGUGAGUGGAACUGCGAGUGUAGAGGUGAAAUUCGUAGAUAUUCGCAAGAACACCAGUGGCGAAGGCGGCUCACUGGCCCGGUACUGACGCUGAGGUGCGAAAGCGUGGGGAGCAAACAGG
rnacentral:rRNA from 1 species